UUUUUUAUUCUAUAGAAGCAAGCUAAAAUAAAAAUCUUCGACUUGGGCUAGAAAAAGCAAUUGCCAACAUACAUCAUUUCAUUUGACGUAGUCAGUGAACCAAUCCAACAUAUUUCCAUGGGCUUCUUCAGCAUGUUUGACUGCAUUCUCAUCUUCCAUUUUAUACCUGACUGUCCACCCAUGUGCCGCGCCAGGAAAUAUCUUGACAUAGCCAUUGAUCUGUUGAAUAUUAGCAUCAAUGAGUUAAUGAUACAAAUUAGGGAAGUGCUAGCAUCAAACACAGGUCAAUUGAUUGCUAGCAUCGUUGGUGAAGCAACUGACGCAUCGGAACUAUUGAUUCUUGUGGGUCCAACUGUCAACUGUUCAGAUGCUUAGCAUUCCUCUACAAAUUAUCUUAAUUAAAGAACCAAGAAUAAACAGAAUAUAAUCCAUAAGUCUAUCACUCGCAAAAUGUUUUUUAUGAUUGUUAAUAAGACAAUUGCUGACUAUAAGCAAGGAUUGUUUUCUAUUUUGAAAAAGACCAGCAGAAAGACAAGAUCUCCAAAGUUCAAUAACUUCUUACCUCAGGCCUGGUGGAUAGAACCUCUUCGAACUGUUUGACGAGUGCAGGAGGAGAUAUUUUGUCAAUCUCAGCUCCCAACACAGCAAUUGGCACCUUGACCUCUGAAAACGACAAGUUCAUAGCAACAUAUUAAAUCUAAAUUGAUUUGGCAGUGCUACACAGAGCUCUCAAUGGGAAACUGCAAAUAGAAAUCAGUUGACAGUUUUAGGAAGUAACUGAAGCAGCAUCUGGCCAAUAAUUUAUCCUUUUUAUCAAAAUUCGAAAUAAAUAUUUAUAUUGAGAUGUUUUCUCCACCUUGCAGGUAUGAUCCUAUAUUCAUCUGGACUGAGCACAGCCCUCACCAUAAAUACUGCAGGCACAGAGAAUUUUUGGCAAAAGGAUAGAAAACAGUUAAAACAAAAGUUACCUUUUAUAUCAUCUACAGUGACAAGGGAAGGAUGUAAAAGCACUGCAGCUUGAAUGUAAUCAGACUUUGCCAGCUCCACAACAACCUUGGCACCCCAGCAGAAACCAGCUGCUCCAAUUGCUGAUAUGCCUUUGCUUUUUAAAGCCAUAAUAACUGGUUUUACAUCUUCAAAUCCUUUAUCCUAAAAAUAAACAAUGAUAUCUAAGUUUUAGCAAGAAAACUAUGUUUGAGCAGACUGUUGCAUGAAUAUGACUUCCUGCUGCACAAAGGUGAAUUAAAAUGUUGGUUUUAACAUGGCAAAAGAAUGAAUCUACUUUUCUCUAGAUUUAUUUAAAGCAUGUUAAGUAAAAAAUUUAAUGGCACUUCUAAGCAUAUUUCUUAUAAUUUAGCAUACAGUCAGAAACAAACCGUUCCAUGCAACCUUAUCCAGACAGGUAUUGGCCUCUCAACAUUUUCAGGUACAUAUGGGUCUCCAUUGAAGAAGUCGGGCACCACCACAUAGAAUCCAGCAGCAGCAACUUUGUCAGCAAGCUUCCUUAACAACAACAAUGGAUUGACCCAUAUCAGCUAAGACCUAUCAAGUAUCAACUAUUAACACUCAAAUAAUUAUUUUUUUUUCCCUUCUCCCUAUAGUUUGGCAAAUUCAUCAUCCAUCAAAGUGGAAACAUGAAGAGACUUGUUUUAUUUAAAUGUUCAACAAGAGAUGACAGGUACUUCAUAACCAGCAUCUGUAGUUCUCCAACAUCAAUCAUCAAUACUUUGUCAAUGAACAUCACAAUGUAAAAGACUAUUUGGCUUAAUAUUAGAUCAUAAAGAGAACCUUAAAGUUAGGGGUUUUCAUGGUUCAGUUUGGUGGUUCAAGGUAGAUUUUUCAAAUAAAACCAGUAAAUUAGUUUGUGAAUAAUCAUAAACAUAACCAAACUAAACAAGGUUAAAAAUUAUCCAAACUAAACCAUUUAGGUUCGGUUUGGAUAAUUGGUUUGGUUAGUUUAUAUCAUAAAGUAAAUUAGUAAAAUAAAAAUGUUUUUAAAAAUGGACAUUUAAAUAAUAUAAUAUUAAAAUAUAAUAAUAUGAGCAUAUAUGUUAAUCAUAUGAAUGGAGAACCAAAUUAGGUGAAUUUUCAUUUUAUGUAGUGUAGAUCAUGUAGAGAAAAACAAACUAACACAACAAAGAUAUUUACAUAAUUAUUUAUAUGUAUUCUUGAUUCAGUUCGGUUUCAAUUGGUUUUUCAUAUGAAAAAAAACCAAAACUAAAUAAAAAGUCAGUUUGAUUAUAUUUUAAAAUCAAACCAAAUCAUAUAAGCGUCAAAAAACAUGGAUUUGGUUUGGAUUGGAUUGAAUUGAUUCAGUUGGAUUUGGUUAAAAUUUUGCAGCCCCAAAGGCUAAAAUAAUGUUUAUUGGCAACAGACCAGGGUGGAAAUAAUGCACACAAGAUGAAAUUUUAAUUAGCUCACUAUUGAACAGUAAUAAACUAUUUCGCG
rnacentral:misc_RNA from 1 species